GAGAACGCUGACCUUGUGUUGUUUUGAUUGUUGUUUUGACUCCUCUGUGAGCAAUGCAGCAUAGGUGCACUAAGAGUGAAAAAUGCCUGCCUUAACUUCUGGAGAGCCUGCGAGCAACAGAGUCCUGACUGGUAUUCACGAUUCCUGCAACAAGUAAAGCAAGAAUUUUAGGGUGUGAAGGAGAAACUCAGUUAUUAUAUGCACUGGAAAAACGGAUUUUGAAUGCUGGUGGAUCCAUUCCUGUCGACUUGGGCUUCUAAACUGACAGAAUCCAUGGAAACCAAGAUUUUCCAUUCGUUCUUGUGGAGUCUCCUUUCACUUGUUCUCUAGGUUCGUAAAUUGACUGUUACUUGUGCUUGUACAAAUUCAAAACCUUUUCCCUUUUCACUCAGAAUGUCAUUGUUUUCUACAGCUGAUUUCGACUUUCGAUUCUUCGUGUCUGUUUAAGCCUAACUGUUUGUAUUGCAUGGAGUCCUAGAAGAUUUUCUGGGUGCUUUCAAAGAAGCAAAUACUCUCUUAUAUAUCUUUGUUCCCUUCGUAUUCUGCUAAUCAAAUCAUGCCUGAUAACAUUGUGGGUUUAAUUUGAACUUAUCUUGGAUUUUCACUCUAUUUGGAACAAGCAAAUGCAACCAAUGGACAGAGUAGGCAGUGCAAUGGAUUAAGAACAACAUGAAGCUUAGAUGAUGAGAUAAAUUGAUACAGGGAUAGUUCCAAUCUAUUGUUUGUUGCUUUCUACGUACCAUGAAAUGGUCACUUUUCUAAUACAAAUGCCCCUAUAGUUUUCAUCUUUGUUGA